rnacentral:lncRNA from 1 species
ACAAGUAGGGACUUUGGUUCUUCCCCUAAAGGGGACAACCCUUUAGGGGACGUCUUUGGUUCCCCUUUAGUGCUCUUCUUCCCCUUUAGUUCCCCUAAAGGGGAUGAACUUUAGGGGAAGACUUUGGUUCAUCCCCUUCGUUUUUUUCCCCUUCGUUUUCUUCCCCGAAGGGGAACCCUUCGUCUCCGUCCCCUUUAGGGGAAGAAAGGGAACACCCCAAAGUCUCCCCAAAGUCUCUUCUUCUUCCCCUUUAGGGGACUCCGUCCCCUUUAGGGGAAGAAGUGCUCCCCUUCUUCCCCUAAAGGGGAAGAAGGGCUUCCCCUAAAGGGGAAGAACACACCCCAAAGUCUCUUCUUCUUCCCCUUUAGGGGACUCCGUCCCCUUUAGGGGAAGAACACCAAAGGGGAAGAACACACCCCUUUAGUUCUUCGUCUUCUUUAGUUCCCCUAAAGGGGAUGAACCAAAGUCUCUUCUUCUUCCCCUAAAGGGGACGGAGUCCCCUAAAGGGGAAAAAGGGGUUCCCCUAAAGGGGAAGAACUCCCCUACGGUUCCCCUUUAGGGGAUGAAGAAGAAGAUGACUUCCCCCUUCGGUUCCCCUUUAGGGGAUGAAGAAGUGCUCCCCUUCGGGGAUGAACUAAAGGUGUGUUCUUCCCCUUUAGGGAAACCCCUUCUUCCCCUUUAGGGGAAGAAGGAGAGCACUUCUUCCCCUAAAGGGGACGGAGUCCCCUGAAGGGGAAGAAGAAGAGACUUUGGGGAACCCCAAAGUCUUCGUCCCCUUUAGUUCCCCUAAAGGGGACGAAGAACACUAACGGGGAAGAAGGGGUGUGUUCUUCCCCUUUAGGGGAGCCCCUUCUUCAUCCCCUUUAGGGGAACUAAAGGGGACGGAGUCCCCUAAAGGGGAAGAAGAAGAGAUUUUGGUUCCCCUUUAGGAGACGAAGACUUUGGUUCAUCCCCUUCUUACCCUUUAGGGGACUCCGUCCCCUUUAGGGGAAGAAGUUCCCCUUCGGGGAGGAACACCCCUUUGGUUCAUCCCCUUUAGGGGAACUAAAGA